GUAAGGGUUUCAGUGAGCAAGACGCACUGUGGUCCAGGAAAAUCGAGCACCAGGGGCCUCUGGGCUGCAGGCCAAGGAACACUCGUUUGACUUUUAGAGACUGAGGCUGUCUGAGACCAUUUACCAGCUAUCACUGAACAGUGCCCUAAGCCUUGGGUGUCAUGGAGGGAACAGAUAUGGCCCCUGGCCUUAGAUUACCUACAACAUGGUGUGGGAGAUGGGGCACUUAUGAAGAAUGUGUUGUGAGAUGUAAUUUUUCAGAAUGAGGAGAAAUCCUUCCCACUAAGGGAUUAAGGCCCAGGAGUUGCUGUGAUUCAGGCCAUGUGAAUUGUUCCCCCACCUGCACACCCUGGGCAUCAAGGAGAAGGCAAUAUCUUUGCUCACAAAGCAUUUUGCAGGCCUGGGAAAUGGAGCUUGGAUUGUAAGGGGUCCGAACUACUUUAGCGCUGCAGUGGAAAUAGCCUCCGCAUGAGGGAGGAGAAGAAUCAAGCGGGGAAUGUGCCAGCUGAGGACUGGAAACCGCAGUCAGAAGAAUGGAUCUGCAUUUUCCACUCCUGGCAGAGAACAGGCCUCAGUCAGGAAUACAACCAGACGGCUGGGCCUGGGAGUCUCCGAAGCAAACCUGGAACUGAGUAAGUCAUUAUCCUGGGUGAAAUUGAGUUUGAGGAUGAUCAGGAGAAGGGGACAGACAAAGAAUCAGAAAGCGUGACAAAGGAGCUGUCUCCCCAUCUCAAAGCAUUAGACAAGGUAAAACUGUGAUCACUAGUUUCAUCAUCGUCUGUUCACGCGGAGGCCCCUGUCUGCUGGGGUGGCCAGGGAGGGCUUCAUGGAGGAGGAAAGUCUUGAAAUUUGAGUUGGAACUUUCUGGAUAGAGGAGAGGUUGUGAGAAGGUGGAGAACAGCACAGGACAGAGAUGUGAGUAUGCAUUAUGUCCCAGCAGCGAUAAGACGAGGAUGACCACCCGUGGCUGCCCAUGUGCCAGCCCACGCCUC